rnacentral:rRNA from 1 species
GACGAACGCUGGCGGCGUGCUUAACACAUGCAAGUCGAACGGAAAGGCCCUGCUUUUGUGGGGUGCUCGAGUGGCGAACGGGUGAGUAACACGUGAGUAACCUGCCCUUGACUUUGGGAUAACUUCAGGAAACUGGGGCUAAUACCGGAUAGGAGCUCCUGCUGCAUGGUGGGGGUUGGAAAGUUUCGGCGGUUGGGGAUGGACUCGCGGCUUAUCAGCUUGUUGGUGGGGUAGUGGAUUACCAAGGCUUUGACGGGUAGCCGCCAUGAGAGGGAGACAGGCCACAUAGGGCUUGGGAAAGCGGCAGGACUGAAACGGGGGGAAGGGGGGAGGAUUUGACCGAGAGGGGCGGAGUCAGUGAGCAACGUGGCCGGGUGGGGAAAGACGGUUGUUGGGUAAGAACCGGUGUGGGCGUGGAAAGCACAGGAAGUGACGGUAAGGGGAAAGAAAGCAACGGCUAACUACGUG